AUUCAGUGGUCAUACUCCUAAGCAUCCCGUGCAGAUUCCCUGGGGCUCGAGGGAUCCCGUCAUGGGGCUGCAGGGUGGAGCUGGUCGUUGGCUGGACCCUAAGUCCACUUUCUAUGGGCUUCUGCACAGAGCUGCAAGAGAACGCUCAUCCACAGCAGAAGACAGGAAAUGGGGGCUGCUCUUUUCAUCCUGGGUCUGGAAUCUAUGGAGGCAUCACUUGUGCAUACUCCAUGAUUCAUAGGGGAGCCCUUGGUAUCUCUAUCAGAAGACUCUGACCCUUUAACAUAUCAGCUUUAGGCAUUAUUAAAAAAAGAAUCAGUCAUGGAGAAGCAAUAGAUGUGAUGGGACACACCUUACCUGGGCAGGUAAGACAAGAGGACUGCAAGCUCCAAGCCAGCCUGGGAAACUUAGAAAUACUUCAGAAUGGGGAAGUGAUACAACAGAAGUAACAACCAUCCAUUCCAUCCAGCUGGAACUCUGAGAGCACAAGGUCUGUGAUGAAUCCGCUAGUUACAGGCACUGGGGCCUGAUCUCCCAGAGUUUCAGUCCACGUGACUGCCAUUUGGGGUAAAUGUGGUUCAGUAAUAAUUCUCUGAAUGGUGGUGGAGCUUUAAAAUAGGAUUUUGACCAACUAUUUACCCUCAAUUCCUAGUCGAUAAAACGCUUAUUUGAAUGGUUACCUAUCUUCAGUAAAGCCUGCAUUUCUCUGUUUCCUGUCCUUGCCUAUUCUGCUCAAUUGGGCUUUGUUGAUAUUGCAGUUUCUGUUUACGAGCUUAAAUCUGAGAAUAAGAAAGACCUUUUAAAAACACAAUUACUGGACAGAGACUGUGCACUUCUGAUGAACAGCUAAGGUGCGGGGGGGGGGGGAUAUGUAGGGCCAAUUAGAUCACAGUCUGCUCUGCCAAUCUACAAUACAAUGUAAAAGGUGGACCGUGUGGUGCAGGGGAAAGAAUGGUGACUGCAGCAGGCAUUGUCACGUUUAGUUCAGCGCGUGCCCUGCACUUUGUUCGAACAACAUUUAAAACGUUUCACUUGGUACUGAGUUUGACCACUGCAGGAAGGGUGCAGAAUAGAAUCAUGCUUAAAAUGCAAAGGCUCAAACUAAACAGAGAAAAAUGCUUUUACGGGGCGACUUCUGCCUCCUACUUUUCUAUGGACAAGGACAUCCAAGAGUUGUGUUACUUAUGAUUACCCAGCAAGGCCAUUAAAGAUUGCGUGUCU
rnacentral:lncRNA from 1 species